CGAUCGUCUCACCAGGAUAUUGGAAGGAAGAACACCACCAGGAACAGGGUUCCCUAGAGGACUAUGGGACAUGUAGUAUUGUGUUCAGGCAAGGUAUUGGAGGUGGACAUCUGCAUGAUGAGAGGAUUAACUAUGGUAAAAUGUGAACUGAGGAAGCGGACCGGAGAGUGCACAAAACCCUUCAGUUUUCAUCCCCGAAUGCACCUGCAUCUUUAAAUAACGCCACAGCCUUCUGAGGAGUCCGGACCACUUCCGUUAAAUGCUAUGCAGGCUUGAUAGUAAGCCAUUUGUCAGAAUGUUAUGUUUAAAUUUAUGACAUUUAUUAAACUGACACUG